UAAGAGAGAGACGAGGGGCAUAAACAAAAACUUUGAUAAAAAGCCUUCCUCCUCCGUUACAAAAAAAUAUACUCCGUACAUAACAUCUCUCUCUCUCACCUCCGGAGAGAAAGAAAAAAGAAGGAAGAUGGGAGCAUUCGAGGAACAGGUGAAGGUAAGGGCGAUGGAGCUGAAACAUCUGUUCAAGAAAAGCAUCAGAGUUGUCAGCAAAUCUUGUAAGAAAGGAUGGUCCAAAGUCAAGAACCUUCGUCGUUGAUUCUUUCUAUCGUAUUAUUAAGUUUUUUUUCUUCAUUUAUAAUUAUGAAGUCUUUAUCUUAAUUGUGUUGUUGUUGUUGUUGUUUUUUUUGUGUCUUUCAUUCUUUUUAUCAAAUCGUUCGCCGUUGAUCUCUAAGAUGUUAAUCUUGUUUUCUUUCUCCUCCCUUUGUUUUCAAGAUUUGUGGGAUGUUCACCAAUUUCACACCUCCAUAAUGAGAUCUAUUAAUUAUGUA